CCUUAGUCUUGAGGUCUAUGGCCUCC
rnacentral:piRNA from 1 species